UACAGAGGUCCCAAGCGUUGUUCGGAUUCAUUGGGCGUAAAGGGUGCGUAGGUGGCGCGCUAAGUCAGGUGUGAAAUUUCGGAGCUUAACUCCGAAACUGCAUUUGAUACUGGCGUGCUUGAGGACUGGAGAGGAGACUGGAAUUCAUGGUGUAGCAGUGAAAUGCGUAGAUAUCGUGAGGAAGACCAGUGGCGAAGGCGGGUCUCUGGACAGUUCCUGACACUGAGGCACGAAGGCCAGGGGAGCAAACGGG
rnacentral:rRNA from 1 species